UUGAAUUUAUAAUUUUUAAGGGGAGUUCAUAAUGUUUGAGAGUGAAUUCAUAAUAGACUUAUUUUAUACCAUAAAUCUUAUUUAUAUACUAAUAAACACUCUUAUAUAUACAUAUAUCAAUUUAAAAUAUUUUAGAAUCUAGAUACAAGUUGGCCUGGGAAAAGAGAUGAAUCAGAAAUUCGGUGGCGGGAAGCAGCCGACGGGAACUCCAUCGUUGGCAUGGUCAUCCGUCGUCGUCGUGGCGUCGCUACUCGCCGGCGCUUCGAUUGUGCACAACAUUUACAAGCCUAAUCUGAAAAUCCCUCCAACGGAAGACGUCGAUGAGCAUAAGCAAGAAGAAGGCCAGAAGCUAUAAACCAUGCUUUCAAGAUUUGAUUUUUUUUAUGUGAGUUUCAGUAAGAAAUUUUCUUUGACGAUACCAUGACUGAAUGUGAUUGAUUUUUCAGCUAUUUCAUAGCAGAAACAAUUAAUGAAACGCUUAUGAUUA